GGAUUGCGUUGCCAGCCCGAAAGGAGCAGUAAUUAUAGCCUUCCUUCCAUGCAUGACCACCAUUCUGGUGGAACGAAGGCCUUAUUUUUUCCAGAUAACGUGGGGCUGAUGCAAACCUCAGUGGACCGUUUCCAAGACUGGGAAAACUGGCUAAUCUGAAGAUGAAACAUAUUACGGGGCCCAAAUCUUGGAUCGAUUUGCAAAUGUGCAUUCCAAAUAGAACAUCUAAGAGACAUGGUGAAAUACCCAAGGGCAAAUCCCAAGGCCUGAGUUCUGCUAGGAGUCGGGAAAACAUCCAAGGUUGGCAUCUGGGCUCAUGCCCUCUUUCAACUUCACGGAUUUUCAGAGAAGCGGAGGUGGCAGGAAGCACCUGAGGCGAUGGUUCCUGGAUAUAUCAUGGAGGAACUCACCUCUGCUUGGAAUGUGUGGUAAGGAAGUAGAAAGAGGGCCAAAACGAUCCCUCUUUAGCAAUUCACAAAGUGUAUC